rnacentral:rRNA from 1 species
GAUGAACGCUGGCGGCGUGCCUAAUACAUGCAAGUCGAGCGAACGGACGAGAAGCUUGCUUCUCUGAUGUUAGCGGCGGACGGGUGAGUAACACGUGGAUAACCUACCUAUAAGACUGGGAUAACUUCGGGAAACCGGAGCUAAUACCGGAUAAUAUUUUGAACCGCAUGGUUCAAAAGUGAAAGACGGUCUUGCUGUCACUUAUAGAUGGAUCCGCGCUGCAUUAGCUAGUUGGUAGGGUAACGGCUUACCAAGGCAACGAUGCAUAGCCGACCUGAGAGGGUGAUCGGCCACACUGGAACUGAGGCACGGUCCAGACUCCUACGGGAGGCAGCAGUAGGGAAUCUUCCGCAAUGGGCGAAAGCCUGACGGAGCAACGCCGCGUGAGUGAUGAAGGUCUUCGGAUCGUAAAACUCUGUUAUUAGGGAAGAACAUAUGUGUAAGUAACUGUGCACAUCUUGACGGUACCUAAUCAGAAAGCCACGGCUAACUACGUG